rnacentral:lncRNA from 1 species
UCUUUCUUUCUUUCUUUCUUUCUUUUCUUUCUCUCUUUCCUUCCUUCCUUCCCUCCUUCCUUCCUUCCUUUCUUUCUUUUUGUUUGAGACAGAGUUUCGCUCUUGACCCCGAGGCUGGAGUGCAGUGGCCUGAUCUUGGCUCACUGCAACCUCUGCCUCCCGGAUUCAAGCGAUUCUCCUGCCUCAGCCUCCCGAGUAGCUGGGAUUACAAGCACACACCACCACGCCCGGCUAAUUUCACCCGGCUAAUUUUUGUAUUUUUAGUAGAGACUGGGUUUCGCCAUGCUAGCCAGGCUGGUCUCAACUCUUUACCUCAAGUGAUCCGCCCACCUUGGCCUCCCAAAGUGCUGGGAUUACAGGCAUGACCACCUCGCCUGGCCAAGAAAAAUGUAACCUUGUAAAUAGCACAGCGUUCUCAUAAUGGAAACAGUUGCAAAGAACAUAAAGUACAGCUGCGUUACAUGUAACAAAAGAUGCAAACAAAAUAGAUUCAAGUUGUUUUGCAGACAGCACAAUGAUACAAUAUUAGGACUACAGAAUCUCAGAGUAAACCACAAUGAUUUAAAGGUAAGAUACACAGAAAUAAAAUGAUUUUAACAGAAAAAUAUGACAUUCCUGACCUUAGGUCUGGGCACAUGAUGUCUGACCCCUAUAGAGGCACCUUGGCUAAAAUGGGAAUGACCUAGUGCCAUGGCUGACCUCACUUGUGCGUUGCUGAGCCCAUAUGUGAACAAAUCCCCUUGAUACAGCACCAUGGUAGGCAUGAGAGGAGAAGUGUUUUAACUAUUCUCUUAUGAAUUGUAACCAACCCUUAUUAUCUACUGAUGGAUGGACAGGGGGUGGGGUGAUCAUACAGGAUGGCAGACAUUCCAAGUACUCUUCACCCCAGUGUGGACGGAACAGAAUCUGGCUACACGGUGGCCAGUGAUGGACUGCUGGGAAAUCUGCUGGCCUGUGGUCUGAGUUCCCCUACUUGCUCAGGCUGCCCCUCACUCCCAGUGUGCCAGGGAGGCUUAGUCCGGGGAGCAUCAGAGCAGAAGACAUUCGGGGCUCAUGGCUCCCAUCCCCACUGGCCUGUAUCUUCAGCACCCUCUGGCCACCACCAGCUUUGGCUCUAACUGCAGACUUUGUUCUUGGUGAAUUGCUAUAGAACUGGGAAUGAGGUGUGCCCUGGGCACAGGGGCACUGCCCCACCAAGGUGGUGCCCACUCCACUGCUGGGAAAACGAAGUUACCUAGCGGAGCCUGGAGCCCACUGGGUGGUCACUAAUUUCAGCACAGGCAGUGCAGUGUUUGUGCUUUUUUUUUUGGAGAUGGAGUCUCACUCUGUCACCCAGGCUGGAGUGCAAUGGCGUGAUCUAGGCUCACUGCAACCUCCGCCUCCCAGGUUCGAGCAAUCCUCCUGCCUCAGCCUCCCAAGUAGCUGGGACUACAGGCACACGCCGCCACGCCUGGCUAGUGUUUGCUCUUAAAUACACAAAAUGCACUGAACCAGCAAAAACAAAGUCCCAGCUACUCAGGAGGCUGAGGCAGGAGAAUCGCUUGAACUCAGGAGGCGGAGGUUGCAGUGAGCCGAGAUCGUGCCAUUGCAUUACAGCCUGG